rnacentral:lncRNA from 1 species
CUUUUUUGAAACGUAUAUUAUUGGAGUAUUGCCUAUUGGCAAGUUCUACCCUUCGCUUCCGAGAUUUACAAACUAUAUUGAAAUAAUGCAAGUAAAAAUAAUGACAACUUAUAUUAAAGCCAUACAUUUUCCGAUAACGACAAAACAUGGAUGCAAAACAAUAUCAAUAAUUACAAUAACCACCACGGUGAUUACUUUUUAACAAUGAGUUUAAGGAUUAACACUGAAAAUGCAAAAUAUGCAUGGUGUGCUGUGAAGCGUCAUAAGUCCUAUUGAUCUACUGUAACUGUGUAAGCCACUGAUCAGUGGUGUAAGCCCUUUUGAUACAUGUAAUGGUAAAUUUGUAUUCUUACAUGGAGGGCUUGAAAUAACGUUCCCAGUCAUGACUUUCCCUGCUUUUUCCAGGUUGGAAACCGAAACCCUGCUUUUCCGCCGAUCGUAAGCAAUUCCUUUCCGAUCAUUGAUCGGUUGUUAUUUCAAGCUCUGUCUUAACAAUUUUGAAUUGAUACUGAUUUCAAAUGAUUAAAGCCAUGUAAUAAUUAUCCCAUGCAACUGUUAGGAGGGGCGAAAUUUUGAACGGAGGACGAAAAUCCUAAAGAAAAGGUGAAGUUCCAAAAGGGGGGCGAAUUUCCUAAAGGGGUCGAAAUUCCUAGGAUUUUCGCCCCCCUGGGGGGCUAUAUUCCUAGGGCGAAAAUGUAGGGGGGGGCGAAAAUCCUGGGACACCGGUGUUCCGGAAUGAUGCUGUUCCGUUGUUCCUGGUUUUACUAAUAGCCCUUAGGGGCGGACCAUUNNNNNNNNNNNNNNNNNNNNCCGAUCAUUGAUCGGUUGUUAUUUCAAGCUCUGUCUUAACAAUUUUGAAUUGAUACUGAUUUCAAAUGAUUAAAGCCAUGUAAUAAUUAUCCCAUGCAACUG